GUAGGUGAACCUGCGGAAGGAUCAUUAUUGAAUAAACCUGAUGUAGUUGUAGCUGGCUCCUAGGAGCAUGUGCACACUCGUCACUUUUAUCUUUCCACCUGUGCACCCAUUGUAAGCCUGGAUAACCCUCGCUUGGUUUCAAGCGGAUGCGAGGAUUGCUGAUGCUCUUUCUGCAAGGAAAGGCCGGCUCUCUUCGAAUUUCCAGGUUUAUGUUUUUCUUACAUACCCCAAUUGAAUGUUACCGAAUGUU
rnacentral:misc_RNA from 1 species